rnacentral:rRNA from 1 species
CACGUAGGGUGCAAGCGUUGUCCGGAAUUAUUGGGCGUAAAGAGCUCGUAGGCGGUUUGUCACGUCGGAUGUGAAACCCUGAGGCUCAACCUCAGGCCUGCAUUCGAUACGGGCAGACUAGAAUUCGGCAGGGGAGACUGGAAUUCCUGGUGUAGCGGUGAAAUGCGCAGAUAUCAGGAGGAACACCGGUGGCGAAGGCGGGUCUCUGGGCCGAUAUUGACGCUGAGGAGCGAAAGCGUGGGGAGCAAACAGG